rnacentral:lncRNA from 1 species
GGCAGCUGAUAAGAGGUGGCAGAGUUGCCUCAGGGUUUCUACCUGCUGGGGAAGCUUCUACGACGUCUUCACAUGUGGGGGAAAAAAAGCUGAGUGAAGCCUUCUGUGCCCACACCCUGAGGAAUUUGGACUGGAGCAACACUCAGAAGAAAUGGUGGAUCAAUCUUAGAGGCCCCAGGGUAGUCAACAGAGCCAUGCCAUGUUCCUGGAGGGCCUGGCCACAGUGACUUCUUCGCUCAGUCCCUGAUGACGUGAGACCAUGGUCAGUACUAAAAGCAUGUCCAUUGAGUAAACACAGCUAGUCUUCCAGCCAGA